rnacentral:misc_RNA from 1 species
CCGAAUUGUCAACACGAGUUGUUGCUGGUCCCCAGACCGGGGUCAUGUGCACACUCUGUUUACACAUCCACCCACACCUGUGCACCCUCUGUAGCUCUAUGGCCUGGGGGCCUGUCCCCCUGCUGUGGUUCUGCAUCUUUACAAAUACACACUGUAAUAAAGUCUCAUGGAAUGCAUGUCGCGUUUAACGCAAUACAAUA